rnacentral:antisense_RNA from 1 species
GAGUCACCUAUUGUAUGAUUCCAUUUAUAUGAAAUAUCCAAAAUAGCUGUCCUGGGUGGCAUGAGAACCAUGGGCUGAGGAUUGGACAAGCUUGCUCUACAAUAUUCAAAGGCCACAGAUCAGCCCUGGGGUUCAGAGGGAUCCUGACGGCUACUCCUCAAGAUCCUCUCUGUUGUGAUUCAUCCCCCCCGGGCCCUACAGUUUCUCCUUCCUGACUCUUACAUUUCUUUGGAUGGCAUCAUUAUUGCUGGAGUGCAGUGAUGUGAUCUCGGCUCACUGCAACCCCUGCUUCCUGGAUUCAAGCAAUUUUCCUGCCUCACCCUCCCAAGUAGCUGGGAUUACAGUACCUGUCUCCUCCCAUAGUUAGGUGCCAAGCACUGUGGAUUCUGCCCCUCAGUGUCCAGACACCCAUUUUCCUUCCCACUGUUCCUUCCCCAUGGAGAAGCCUGUGGCUGGCUGACAGCAGAGAGAGAUGCUCAACUUGGAGAAGGUGUUACCUGGGCCAGGUGGGGAAGGUUUGUUUGCAGAGCAAAGAAGUGAAGGAAGUAUUAACCCUUUGCAUGGCCUCCUGAGAAUCCGACAAGACGUAAAUAGCCAAGAAUAUCUGUGGAACUUAAUCACUGAGUUACAGUAUUUAUCACUGCAAGUGUGUUGUUCAUUGACACUAUAAAGCCAUGUGGAAUUAAGCAGCCUUGAAACACAAAAUGGAGAAAGGCUGAGAGCUGAGAAUUGUUGCCUUCAGGAAAAUACAAUCAAUGUCAAGCAAACAACCACCCC